rnacentral:RNase_P_RNA from 1 species
AUUGGUGGGUAAUUGCGUGUAACUUUUGUUACAUGAGGAAAGUCCAUGCUCGCACUAACUGUGAUGUUAGUAGUGUUCGUGCUAGCUGAAAAAAUAAGGCUAGGCAAUUCUUGUAAUUGACGGCCAGUGAACAUGUCUAAGGGCAUUGCCUAUGAUGUUAGUAGUUGUUAAGGUGCCACAGUGACGAGCCAUCAAAGAAAUGCGAUGGGUGGAACGCGGUAAACCCCACGAGCGGGCAACCCAAACUUUGGUAGGGGCGUUUGAUCUAGCGAAUCGAAGCGAUGAUCGAGGAAACAGAAAUGUUUGAGAUAGAUGAUUACCGCCAAAUAAAUUUUGCCAAUUUUUAUUUGGAACAAAACAUGGCUUACAGCC